rnacentral:rRNA from 1 species
AGUCGAACGGCAGCACGGGUGCUUGCACCUGGUGGCGAGUGGCGAACGGGUGAGUAAUACAUCGGAACAUGUCCUGUAGUGGGGGAUAGCCCGGCGAAAGCCGGAUUAAUACCGCAUACGAUCUACGGAUGAAAGCGGGGGACCUUCGGGCCUCGCGCUAUAGGGUUGGCCGAUGGCUGAUUAGCUAGUUGGUGGGGUAAAGGCCUACCAAGGCGACGAUCAGUAGCUGGUCUGAGAGGACGACCAGCCACACUGGGACUGAGACACGGCCCAGACUCCUACGGGAGGCAGCAGUGGGGAAUUUUGGACAAUGGGCGAAAGCCUGAUCCAGCAAUGCCGCGUGUGUGAAGAAGGCCUUCGGGUUGUAAAGCACUUUUGUCCGGAAAGAAAUCCUUGGCUCUAAUACAGUCGGGGGAUGACGGUACCGGAAGAAUAAGCACCGGCUAACUACGUGCCAGCAGCCGCGGUAAUACGUAGGGUGCAAGCGUUAAUCGGAAUUACUGGGCGUAAAGCGUGCGCAGGCGGUUUGCUAAGACCGAUGUGAAAUCCCCGGGCUCAACCUGGGAACUGCAUUGGUGACUGGCAGGCUAGAGUAUGGCAGAGGGGGGUAGAAUUCCACGUGUAGCAGUGAAAUGCGUAGAGAUGUGGAGGAAUACCGAUGGCGAA